rnacentral:rRNA from 1 species
UACGAAGGGGGCUAGCGUUGCUCGGAAUCACUGGGCGUAAAGCGCACGUAGGCGGAUUGCUAAGUCAGGGGGUGAAAUCCUGGAGCUCAACUCCAGAACUGCCUUUUGAUACUGGCGACCUUGAGUCCGGGAGAGGUGAGUGGAACUGCGAGUGUAGAGGUGAAAAUUCGUAGAUAUUCGCAAGAACACCAGUGGCGAAGGCGGCUCACUGGCCCGGUACUGACGCUGAGGUGCGAAAAGCGUGGGGGAGCAAACAGG